rnacentral:lncRNA from 1 species
CUUUUCCGUGAUGUCAUAUUUGGUGCGGGACAGUCCUCGCAUGUGUUGCCGCCAUGUUUUUGAACAUCAGUAAAGGACUUCGUUAAUGCCAGUGUUAAGUUUUGUACUCUUUAUAUUUUGGUUAGAAAACAUGAUAGGUUGCGGUAUAGUCGGUUGUUCCAAUAGAAGUGGCAGAGAUCUAAGUUAUUUCAAAGUUAUACUGGAACAGGGAGAUGAAACAAAAAGAAAAUCUGAAGAAAGGAGACGCAAUGUGGAAGGCAGCUUUACAUAGAAAAGACAUUACGUCGGAAGAAAAAUGGGAUAGAACGUUCGUUUGCUCAAAGCACUUUGUUGGAGGAAAAAGUGCAUACUAGUAUCUGCAGGACAGCAACAAUCUGUCCUGGAUUCCAACACUUUCUUUAGGCCACACAUCAACGACGACAACAGGGUCAACUAAUGCAACUUAGAUACCAGCAGUACAGUCAGCGAGGCAAUAAAAGAAAAGUAAUAGAUGUAAUCUCAUCACUUUCAACUCUGUAAACUCCUUGUUUUCUUUCUGGGAAUAUGCCCUUAGAAGAUGAUAUGGCAAACUCAGACAUUCCACAAGGAGCUGAGGAGGCCAUGGCCAUAUCUGAGGAAUCAGAUCCUAAAAACUGUGAGAUAGUAACUCAAACAUGUGACAAGGGGAUUCAAACCGAGGGCAUAGGGACCCAAACUGACUUAACAUCUGGACAUAUUGAACAAAUUGAAAAUGACUACAAUGCAAGGGUUGCAGAUUCAACUGCUUUGAAAAAGUAUACAUUCUCAAGAGAGGGUCUUUACAGCUUUUUAGAUAUACCAGUAAAUGUGUCAGUGUAAACUUUUCGAAAAAGUUUUCAUCCUGUCCUUGAUCUGCUGAUUGAUCUUCUUAGUGCACUGGGCAUAAAGAGAAAGUCUGAGGGUAUCAAUGCUAAUGUCAUUCAGAAAAGAAUUUGGUGAGAAAGUUGCAGUUAUUAGGGAUUGUUUGGAAGUAUAUAUUGAAAACCCUCUUGAACCAAGUGUACACUUAUUCCAACUAUAAACACUACCAUUCAGUUAAAUAUCUCAUUGGAAUUGCUCCACUGAGAGUUGGGAUGGACGAACAUUAGGUAAACAUUUCACUGAAGAAUAUGGGUUCUAUAGAAUCUUUUGCCAGGUAAUUUUGUAUGGUGGGUAGGGGGUUUACAAUUGAAGAAUCUAUGGGUUUUUAUCAAGCAGAAUUAGCCAUUCCUGCAUUGAUCAAGGGGAAAUCGCAGUUGCGUCACAUGGAUUUAGAAGAACAUGCAAAAUUGUGAAUGUACAUAUAUUCAUGUUGAACGUGUCAUUGGUCUAGUAUGUUGCAAGUUUCAGAUUUUAGUACUUCACCAACAGAAUUUUUGAGACUCCAAAAUGGGGAAAAUUACCCAACUAUAGAUAAGAUUGUAUGUCUGUUGUUCUCUUACAAAUAUGUGCCCAUUGAUUAUAUCUUUUGAUUAAAUGGAAUAAGUGAAUUGAUUAAUAAUUUUUAUUCUUCCGUUAUUUGAAUUGUAUAUUUAGCGCCCAAAGAAUAUAUAUAUUUUAGUCUUCAGUAUAUACGGUGAAUUAUAUAUGGUUAGCACCCAAAGUAUACAUAUUUGUAGCACUGGUGUUAUUUUCAGUAAUAAAAUUGAAUAGUUAUUGACGUUA